CAAAGACCAAAUAUUUGUUUUUUAUUACAUCACAAUGCCACAUCCACAGAUCUUCUUUCCCUGACACAGAGAUUUGCUGGCUAAGCUAUUCAAUUUCAUCUAUUCUUGCAGACUUCGUUGUCUCAUUGUUAUGACAAACUGGAGCCAAAUUUAAAAAAUGUUUAAACCACAUUUAGAAGGUAGGAAGCUGGACUCCAUGGUGAACAGCAUUAACAAGUACCACAAGUUUCGAGUGACAGAAGCAUAUCAGCUAUGGAAGCAGAUGGAACAAAAUAAUGUUAAAGGGCCUACGAAGACAAAAGUAAAAGACCCUGAUUGACUGAACAUGCCAGGGUCCAGUGACCAUGACUGAUCAAAACAAUUCUUCCAUAUGGCAGAGUCAUUUGGAAGAAAAGCAACAGCAACUGCAGUGGCCACAUUAGUGUAAGCAGGAGCAGUUCUUAGAGGAAGAGGUUGUUUGGCAGACUAAAUAAAAAAUAAAACUUGUUUAAUA
rnacentral:lncRNA from 1 species